AAAUUAUAAUACAGUGGAAAACCAGGUUCAUGCAUGAUUGCAUGAUACUAUUGUCAUUCCCCAUCUUUCUGAGGAUUGUGCUGACUGCUUAAGCCUGAGAUUCAGGGAUGACAUCGUUGCAUCAGUAUUUCCUUACUCCUCAGCUCUCCUGUGCUGAUUUGAAGAGCAAUAUGUCUGCUGGUGGUGAUGAAAAGCAACAUCACUGCUGACUUCCCUAAAGUGGAGCCCUGCCAAUGUUGAUCAUUGUUACAGAGACUAGGCUAUCUCAGCUGUCCACAGAAAUCUGAAAUCUUCCUUGGGGUUUAAGUGGUGCUACGGACAAUCAGUCCAAAGAUGUUGAGACCCAGAUGUUUACACAGACAAAGCUACAGUCCUUGACCUGACAAAUAGCACUGGGAUUUAAUCCAAACCUUUAAGAUCUGAAUACCAGAUUAAGAAGACCUGGAUUCUGAUCAGCGUAAAUCAAAAGCAUCCCUGCUGACACCAGUGGGAGGCUGGAGAAGAGGUGAUAAAGAGCCCAAUUUUGGCCCGACAAGAAAUUCCACUGCCAGCACACACCGAGGAUGGUUGAAAUCGAGGAAUCUGUCCCCUGGUAACUUCAGUAUCAGAUCUCAUGGUGUUGUCACCCAGAAGAGGCAGCACAUUAGUUGGACCUGGCUCCAAAAAGCACCAAAAAGCCCCACUGAAGCUCCUGAUCUAUGCAGAAGCUAUACAGCCAGUUCAAAGUAACACACAGCUUCUUCCGGUAAAGUGUGGUUUGUUUUGUUUUGUUUUGUUGGUUUUUUUGGGUGGGGAGGGGGUUAAUGUCUGCA